rnacentral:rRNA from 1 species
UACGUAGGGUGCAAGCGUUGUCCGGAAUUAUUGGGCGUAAAGAGCUCGUAGGCGGUUUGUUGCGUCGGCUGUGAAAUCCCGAGGCUCAACCUCGGGUCUGCAGUCGAUACGAGCAAACUAGAGUGUUGCAGGGGAGACUGGAAUUCCUGGUGUAGCGGUGAAAUGCGCAGAUAUCAGGAGGAACACCGAUUGCGAAGGCGGCAUCCUGGACCAACACUGACACUGAAAAGCGAAAGCCAGGGGAGCAAACGGG